rnacentral:rRNA from 1 species
CGGGACGGGUGAGUAAUGUCUGGGAAACUGCCUGAUGGAGGGGGAUAACUACUGGAAACGGUAGCUAAUACCGCAUAACGUCGCAAGACCAAAGAGGGGGACCUUCGGGCCUCUUGCCAUCGGAUGUGCCCAGAUGGGAUUAGCUAGUAGGUGGGGUAACGGCUCACCCAGGCGACGAUCCCUAGCUGGUCUGAGAGGAUGGCCAGCCACACUGGAACUGAGACACGGUCCAG